GAAGACGCGGCCUGGCCCUGGCCGUUCGGCCCUUCGUCUGAGCGCAAAGGCUCCAGCACCUCCGCGGCCGAAGCCGCGGGACUUUUCGUGGAAAAUGGGACCCAGCCCGAUCGCCAGCGGCGCUGCAGCGGACUCUGCGGGAACCUAGCUUCUGCUCCAGGACCUCCAGGGCCACCCCAGCUCGCAGGGCGUUCGCAGCGGCUCAGGGCGAAUCACGCUCAUGGUCCCCGUGCGCAUUUUCAGCCCCAGCCGGGGAGGGACCCAGAGCUGGAGGCUUAGCCCUGGAGAUACCGGUGAAGAUGGAUGAAUGAGAAACCAGUUGGAGCUUCCAAGGCCUGUCGUCCAUCAGGAGAAGCAAAAGGUUUUAUUCUAGAGACAAGUCCUUCCAACUGUACAGCUGAUGGAGUAGCCAAGGAAACCUGGUCUUUCCAGAGACACAUAGAAGGUGCCAUCUAUGAGGAACAGGCCUUCACCAGACAUCAAAUCUGUUGGCAUCUUGAUCUUUGACUUCUCCACCGCCAGAACUAGAUCAAGACAUGAAACCCAUGUUCAAGAUACUUUCCAGUGUGUCUUCAUGUGAUCCUCUGAGUCCAGCCAUCAGGCUACCAGCAGCUCUUGGAAACCCUGACAUACUUAUUCUUAGAAGACUGCUUUCCGGACUCAAAGUGGAACCUCAAAUUUUCAAUUUUCUUUGUUUUUAAAGCCUACACAUAGGUGAUGAUAUAUACAUGCAUAUAUAUUUUGGAGAAUUUAUAAUUCUGAAAACAAUGCUGGUCUUAUGGAACCCAUCCAUUCCCCUUUCCCCGUGUGUGCUCCGAGCUGUGGUGGCACGUGAAAAGGGGUCCUUCCAGCAGUGGCCCACAGCCCUGGGCUGCUUACUUGCUCACUUCAUUUACAAGAGCAAGAAAUACACAUUCUUGUGUUGUUUAAGUCAUUAUGAUGUGGGGAUUUCCAUUACUCACACACCUGAUCUAGUAGUAACACAGUAGCCUAUUUUAGCAAUAUCAUUUAUUCAAUAAUCCAUUCUUUCCCCAUUA
rnacentral:lncRNA from 1 species